rnacentral:rRNA from 1 species
UAUUAUGAGAGUUUGAUCCUGGCUCAGGACGAACGCUGGCGGCGUGCCUAAUACAUGCAAGUCGAACGCUUUUUCUUUCACCGGAGCUUGCUCCACCGAAAGAAAAGGAGUGGCGAACGGGUGAGUAACACGUGGGUAACCUGCCCAUCAGAAGGGGAUAACACUUGGAAACAGGUGCUAAUACCGUAUAACAAUAGAAACCGCAUGGUUUCUAUUUGAAAGGCGCUUUUGCGUCACUGAUGGAUGGACCCGCGGUGCAUUAGCUAGUUGGUGAGGUAACGGCUCACCAAGGCAACGAUGCAUAGCCGACCUGAGAGGGUGAUCGGCCACACUGGGACUGAGACAC